AUACGGAGGGUGCAAGCGUUACUCGGAAUCACUGGGCGUAAAGCGCGCGCAGGCGGUCUUUUAAGUUGGAUGUGAAAGCCUACGGCUCAACCGUAGAACUGCAUCCAAAACUAUUAGACUAGAGUGUGUGAGAGGAAGAUGGAAUUAGUUGUGUAGGGGUAAAAUCCGUAGAGAUAACUAGGAAUACCAAAAGCGAAGGCAAUCUUCUGGAACACUACUGACGCUGAGGCGCGAAAGCGUGGGGAGCAAACAGAAUUAGAAACCCUAGUAGUCC
rnacentral:rRNA from 1 species